GUUGUAGGGUUAAGUGACUAAGCGUACACGGUGGAUGCCUGGGCAGUCAGAGGCGAAGAAGGACGUAGUAACUUGCGAUAAGCCCAGAUAAGGCAGUAACAGCCACUUGAGUCUGGGAUUUCCGAAUGGGGAAACCCACUGGCAUAAGCCAGUAUCAUUAACUGAAUCCAUAGGUUAAUGAGGCGAACUCGGGGAACUGAAACAUCUAAGUACCCGAAGGAAAAGAAAUCAAUUGAGAUUCCGGCAGUAGCGGCGAGCGACCCCGGACCAGCCCUUAAGCUGAUUGUGAGUUAGUGGAAGCCACUGGAAAGUGGCGCGAUACAGGGUGAUAGCCCCGUACACGACAACGCACAGUGAGUGAAAACGAGUAAGACGGGACACGUGUUAUCUUGUCUGAAGAUGGGGGGACCAUCCUCCAAGGCUAAAUACUCCUGACUGACCGAUAGUGAACCAGUACCGUGAGGGAAAGGCGAAAAGAACCCCUGUGAGGGGAGUGAAAUAGAACCUGAAACCGUGUACGUACAAGCAGUGGGAGCCCUAUCACCAAAGUGCUUAUCCGAGCAUGAAGGUGACAGCGUGAAGUGAAUUCACACUGUUGUCGUUGCGUUGUUUGCAACGACAAACCUCAAAAAUCAAGCAGUAGGCUUGAGUGCUUUGGGAUAGGGUGACUGCGUACCUUUUGUAUAAUGGGUCAGCGACUUACGUUAUGUAGCAAGGUUAACCGCAUAGGGGAGCCGUAGGGAAACCGAGUCUUAACUGGGCGAUAUAGUUGCAUGACGUAGACCCGAAACCGGGUGAUCUAGCCAUGGGCAGGUUGAAGAUUGAGUAACAUCAAUUGGAGGACCGAACCGACUAAUGUUGAAAAAUUAGCGGAUGACUUGUGGCUAGGGGUGAAAGGCCAAUCAAACCCGGAGAUAGCUGGUUCUCCCCGAAAGCUAUUUAGGUAGCGCCUCGGACGAAUACUACUGGGGGUAGAGCACUGUUAAGGCUAGGGGGUCAUCCCGACUUACCAACCCUUUGCAAACUCCGAAUACCAGUAAGUAGUAUCCGGGAGACACACGGCGGGUGCUAACGUCCGUCGUGGAGAGGGAAACAACCCAGACCGCCAGCUAAGGUCCCCAAGUUAUCGCUAAGUGGGAAACGAUGUGGGAAGGCUCAGACAGCCAGGAUGUUGGCUUAGAAGCAGCCAUCAUUUAAAGAAAGCGUAAUAGCUCACUGGUCGAGUCGGCCUGCGCGGAAGAUGUAACGGGGCUAAGCGAUACACCGAAGCUGCGGCAGUGUGUUUAGGCACAUUGGGUAGGGGAGCGUUCUGUAAGCCGUAGAAGGUGUGCUGUAAGGCAUGCUGGAGGUAUCAGAAGUGCGAAUGCUGACAUGAGUAACGAUAAAGGGGGUGAAAAACCUCCUCGCCGGAAGACCAAGGGUUCCUGUCCAACGUUAAUCGGGGCAGGGUAAGUCGGCCCCUAAGGCGAGGCCGAAAGGCGUAGUCGAUGGGAAACGGGUUAAUAUUCCCGUACUGCUGAUAACUGCGAUGGGGGGACGGAGAAGGCUAGGUGGGCCAGGCGACGGUUGUCCUGGUUCAAGUGCGUAGGUAGGUGAGUUAGGCAAAUCCGGCUCGCUAUAUACUGAGACACGAUGUCGAGACACCACGGUGUUGAAGUCAUUGAUGCCCUGCUUCCGGGAAAAGCCUCUAAGCUUCAGGUUAUCAGUAACCGUACCCCAAACCGACACAGGUGGUCGGGUAGAGAAUACCAAGGCGCUUGAGAGAACUCGGGUGAAGGAACUAGGCAAAAUGGUACCGUAACUUCGGGAGAAGGUACGCUGCCCGCGGUGAAGUCCCUGGCGGAUGGAGCUAUGGGCAGUCGCAGAUACCAGGUGGCUGCAACUGUUUAUUAAAAACAUAGCACUGUGCAAACUCGAAAGAGGACGUAUACGGUGUGACGCCUGCCCGGUGCUGGAAGGUUAAUUGAUGGGGUUAUCCUUAGGGAGAAGCUCUUGAUCGAAGCCCCAGUAAACGGCGGCCGUAACUAUAACGGUCCUAAGGUAGCGAAAUUCCUUGUCGGGUAAGUUCCGACCUGCACGAAUGGCGUAAUGAUGGCCACGCUGUCUCCACCCGAGACUCAGUGAAAUUGAAAUCGCAGUGAAGAUGCUGUGUACCCGCGGCUAGACGGAAAGACCCCGUGAACCUUUACUACAGCUUGGCACUGAACAUUGAGCCUACAUGUGUAGGAUAGGUGGGAGGCUUGGAAGCGGUGACGCCAGUUGCCGUGGAGCCAUCCUUGAAAUACCACCCUUGUAUGUUUGAUGUUCUAACUUGGCCCCAUAAUCUGGGGUGAGGACAGUGUCUGGUGGGUAGUUUGACUGGGGCGGUCUCCUCCCAAAGCGUAACGGAGGAGCACGAAGGUGGGCUAAUCACGGUCGGACAUCGUGAGGUUAGUGCAAUGGCAAAAGCCCGCUUGACUGCGAGAAUGACGGUUCGAGCAGGUGCGAAAGCAGGUCAUAGUGAUCCGGUGGUUCUGAAUGGAAGGGCCAUCGCUCAACGGAUAAAAGGUACUCCGGGGAUAACAGGCUGAUACCGCCCAAGAGUUCAUAUCGACGGCGGUGUUUGGCACCUCGAUGUCGGCUCAUCACAUCCUGGGGCUGAAGUCGGUCCCAAGGGUAUGGCUGUUCGCCAUUUAAAGUGGUACGCGAGCUGGGUUUAGAACGUCGUGAGACAGUUCGGUCCCUAUCUGCCGUGGGCGUUGGAGAAUUGAGAGGGGCUGCUCCUAGUACGAGAGGACCGGAGUGGACGAACCUCUGGUGUUCGGGUUGUCACGCCAGUGGCAUUGCCCGGUAGCUAAGUUCGGAAUUGAUAACCGCUGAAAGCAUCUAAGCGGGAAGCGAGCCUCGAGAUGAGUUCUCCCUAAGGCUAAAAGCCUUCUAAAGGGUUGUUGGAGACGACGACGUAGAUAGGUCAGGUGUGUAAGUGCUGUGAGGCAUUGAGCUAACUGAUACUAAUUGCCCGUGAGGCUUAACCCUACAACACCCAAGGGGUUU
rnacentral:rRNA from 1 species